rnacentral:rRNA from 1 species
AGCGAACGCUGGCGGCAUGCCUAACACAUGCAAGUCGAACGAACUCUUCGGAGUUAGUGGCGGACGGGUGAGUAACACGUGGGAACGUGCCCUUAGGUUCGGAAUAACUCACGGAAACUUGUGCUAAUACCGAAUGAGCUCUUCGGGGGAAAGAUUUAUCGCCUUUAGAGGGGCCCGCGUCUGAUUAGCUAGUUGGUGAGGUAAAGGCCCACCAAGGCGACGAUCAGUAGCUGGUCUGAGAGGAUGAUCAGCCACAUUGGGACUGAGACACGGCCCAAACUCCUACGGGAGGCAGCAGUGGGGAAUCUUGCGCAAUGGGCGAAAGCCUGACGCAGCCAUGCCGCGUGAAUGAUGAAGGUCUUAGGAUUGUAAAAUUCUUUCACCCGGGACGAUAAUGACGGUACCCGGAGAAGAAGCCCCGGCUAACUUCGUG